UGCUCGAUAGGCGCCAAUUUUGCAGAUGUGGAAACUAACGUUCGUUGACAGACUGACUACAUUUUUAUCUGGAGCCUCGCUACGUUUUUAGAGUAAGUUAAUAAUAAGUGGAACCUCUCAUUGCAUCAAAGAUGGAGCAGACCUUCUCAAUGCGAAGACAUGAGAUUGUGGGCAGAUGGAGCAGUGGAGCUCUUUUUACAGAGAGACAAGUGUUUGCAGAGUUUGACAGGAUAGUCACCACAGAUCUGCAGACAGCAGAGUAACUUUAAUGGUGCUGUGGAUCUCUACACACCACACUUUGUCACAAUCUUCAAGUCUUCAAGAAGCAUUGGAGAGAAAUUGGAUGGGCUUAUGCAGCAAAUUAAUACAGAGGUAUGUGAUGUUGAUGAAGCCUGGGCACAAGUAUCUGUUGGGGACUGUCAUUGAUGAAGAACUUCUCUCUCUCUAACUCUCUGUCUACUGCCAUCAUUGUUGAGAGAGGUAUUGUAAUGGAUAAUCUGUAGAACCUGCCUCAGGCAAUUUGCAUCUAUUUUGGUCAGUCUUAUGCUUUAAAUUUGGAUUUCGCAAAAGAAAUAAACACUUUUAACUUCAUUCAGAAAUUGAUGCUUGGUUUGGGACAAAACAAACUCCCAACAAAACGGCAAUCUCUGAAAAAUUACUUUGUCUUUCUUACCUUUCUUGGGCUUUAAAGUGCUAGAUGCCUAGGCUGAACCAUUGGUCACCCAGUAUCAUGCUAUUAGAUCAUAACGAUAAACCCAGGCAUAGCCUUUAGCAACUCACUAUCAUGGCAAAAUGUCAUGACCACAACAUCAUUGCAAGUUUCAAGGCCCAGAAAGGUAGUAAAAACAUUGUAAAAAUAGUCCAUGUGACUACAGUAGUUC